rnacentral:misc_RNA from 1 species
UGUUGCUUACCCGCGGAAAGGAAUUUGAUGGUUUUGGUGUCCCCAUCCGCCUUGUGCCCUUCGGGGUGCGGGGUGGACGCGAGGCGUGCUCCGUGUUCCUCGCGUGUCGAGUGUGUUGACGCUUGACCGUUGUGGCCCAUGGGGUCUCGACCCGUGCUCUCGGAUGCGGAAUGUUGUGUGUGGGCGUGGGGUCUCGGCCUCUUCUCGUCCAAGCUACACGCAGUGUCCCUUAACAUGAACGACCGCCGCGCCCGUCUUGAUCGACCGACCGAGCCCCUGUUGCGGGUUUUUGGGAGGACGGCUCAUGCGGGUGUC